AUGACGAAGACUCCCUUUUCAACCGAUUUCUUUUCAGACAUUUAUCUACUUUUAACGGACAGUUUCGUGGCUAGACUUGCUGCAAAACGGAUACUGGUUAUUCACUGGUUGAAGAGCAGUAUCUAUCAUGGACAAAAGCUUCCUUCAUGAGGAGAUGUUUUUAUUCAGCUCAACUUGGAUUGUCAUAUUUGGGACAGCUAGGCCCUAUGCCUCACUUCUUCCUUUUCUAAGGCUAUUUACUGGUUGAAGAGCAGCAUCUAGCAUGGACAAAAGCUUCCUUCAUGAGAAGAUGUUUUUAUCAAGUUCAACUUGGAUUGUCAUAUUUGGGCAGCUUUGCAUCACUCCUUCCU